GUCUUCACUGGAGUGCUGCAAGCUCGAAGUGUGAUCCUUAGUAGCUGUUAUUCAAUACCAUAUGCUCUUAAGGACAACGCCCUGAUGUCCAAGGUCAAUCAGCAAGAAGCUGAGAAGGCACUGUCAAAAUGGUUCACUGGGGCAAGGGACAGAGGAGGACAGAGAGCAUCAAGAAUGCAGAAAAGGAUGUCUGUUUGAGAAAGGUUAUAACUACAGUUGCUGAUUUGAACUGUCAUAGUUCUUUUAUUUUUCUUAAAGGAAAACCUUUUUCAAUAUUUUACCAUGUUCUUCCCUCAACUUAGAUGAAUUAAUACAUACCUCUAUUUUCUCAAUGCGUGCACUUAAAGGUGGGGUGCACAAUUUCUGAAAAAUAAAGUUUUGGAAAAGGGAGUCGGGCCGACUACCAAAACACACUUCUAGCCAAUCAGCAGCAUGUCUACUAACUGACAUCGUUUCCUGCGUUGCGUAUUUGUGGGACGGGUCUAUCAAAAAAAGGUCCAGAUUCUAUUAGUGUAAGGGUGUGUUUGUUUGGAUGAUUUCAAAUGUAAACAUUGGCUUUCAUGCACCCUGCCUUUAUUUGUUGUGAAUUGUGGCGUGAAUAUGUUAGCAUUUAGCCUAGCACCAUUCAUUCAUUAAGAUCCAAACAGGGAAGAAUUUAAAAGCCACCAAACACGUCCAUGUUUUCUAGGGGUGCACGAUUCAGAAAAUUUCACGAUUCGAUUCCG